GCCAGCACGUAAAGGUGGGAACUCUGAAGAUACUGCCCCGGUUAACGGGGAGGAAGGUGGGGAUGACGUCAAGUCCUCAUGGCCCUUAUGCCCAGGGCUACACACGUGCUACAAUGGCAUAUACAAAGGGUCGCGAUACCGCGAGGUGGAGCCAAUCCCAUAAAGUAUGCCACAGUUCGGAUUGGAGUCUGCAACUCGACUCCAUGAAGUUGGAAUCGCUAGUAAUCGCAGAUCAGCAUGCUGCGGUGAAUACGUUCCCGGGCCUU
rnacentral:rRNA from 1 species